rnacentral:tRNA from 1 species
GGCUCCUUGGCGGAAUCGGCAGACGCGGCGGAUUUAAAAUCCUCUACCUUCGGGUGUCUCGGUUCAAAUCCGAGAGGAGCUA